rnacentral:rRNA from 1 species
GACGAACGCUGGCGGCGUGCUUAACACAUGCAAGUCGAACGAAGUGGCGAGCGUGUGUGUAACGCGUAUUCAACCUGCCAUUCCGAGGGGGACAACAGUUGGACACGACUGCUAAUACCGCAUACUGCGGUGGGGGAGUUCGUCUGAUUGGCUAGUUGGAGGGGUAACGGCCCACCAAGGCGAUGCUCAGUAGCCGGUCUGAGAGGGUGAACGGCCACAUUGGGACUGAGACACGGCCCAGACUCCUACGGGAGGCAGCAGUGGGGAAUCUUCCGCAAUGGACGAAAGUCUGACCGAGCAACGCCGCGUGAGUGAUGACGGCCUUCGGGUUGUAAAGCUCUGUUAAUCGGGACGCGGUACCGAAAUAGAAAGCCACGGCUAACUACGUGCCAGCAGCCGCGGUAAUUC